rnacentral:rRNA from 1 species
GAUGAACGCUGGCGGCGUGCCUAACACGUGCAAGUCGAACGGAGUCCAGCCUUUAAGACCUUCGGGUCAAAGAGGGGAAGACUGAGUGGCGGACGGGUGAGUAACACGUGGGCAACCUGGCUCAUAGAGGGGGAUAACAGAGAGAAAUUUCUGCUAAUACCGCAUAAGCACACACUGCCGCAUGGCAGAGGGUGAAAAGAGAAUCGCUAUGAGAUGGACCCGCGUCUGAUUAGCCAGUUGGCAGGGUAAGAGCCUACCAAAGCGACGAUCAGUAGCCGAUCUGAGAGGAUGAACGGCCACAUUGGGACUGAGACACGGCCCAAACUCCUACGGGAGGCAGCAGUGGGGGAUAUUGCACAAUGGGGGGAACCCUGAUGCAGCGACGCCGCGUGAGUGAAGAAGUAUUUCGGUAUGUAAAGCUCUAUCAGCAGGGAAGAUAAUGACAGUACCUGAAUAAGAAGCCCCGGCUAACUACGUG